AUUGAACGCUGGCGGCAGGCCUAACACAUGCAAGUCGAACGAGUGGCGGACGGGUGAGUAAUGUCUGCGAAACUGCCCGACGGAGGGGGAUAACUACUGGAAACGGUCGCUAAUACCGCAUACCCUCGGAUGUGCCCAGAUGGGAUUAGCUAGUAGGUGGGGUAACGGCUCACCUAGGCGACGAUCCCUAGCUGGUCUGAGAGGAUGACCAGCCACACUGAAACUGAGGCACGGUCCAGACGCCGAGGGGAGGCAGAAGUGGGGAAUAUGGCACAAUGGGAGCAAGCCUGAUGCAGCCAUGCCGCGUGUAUGAAGAAGGCCUACGGGUUGUAAAGUACUUGCAGCGAGGAGGCGUUACUCGCAGAAGAAGCACCGGCUAACUCCGUGCCAGCCACCGCGGUAAUUC
rnacentral:rRNA from 1 species